rnacentral:lncRNA from 10 species
GUGGCCAUAGGGUCUAGCUGCCAGAGCUCUGUAGCUGGGAUGGCUCCAUUCAUCCUGGCAAUUAAUGGCCCACCACAGCUGCCAAACAUGAGGUGAUGGGACAGCCCUCGUGGCCUCCACCCACCGCCCUGGUGGAGAAGUGAAACAUGAACCCACCAGUGCAAGACAGAGGAAGAGGCACCAGCGAAGGCAAGAAAACUGAAGCUGGACGCUGGCCUCCAGUCCUGUCUUUGCCAUUAGCAGCCCUGGGAUCUUAGUGCCUUCACCAGCCGAGCUUCAGUUUUUCCACCUGUAAAAUGGAGGGUUGAGGCCACAUCUUCCUUUUAGUCCUUCCUCUUCCCUUCCCUCCAGAGCAAGUGGUGUGGAAUUCUAAGGCAAAAGUCACCCUGAUUGAAUGGUGUAGAUUAGUCAAGAACCCAGCACUGAGGUCAGCCUCUGGAAGCAAUUUAAGAUGACCCAAGGAUUUGAGAUUCCAACCUCCUGCAUGCAAGCAGAAGUGCUUCCUCCUACAUAGGGCUGCCCUCCUUCCUGAGCAACUGGGCUGAUUUGUGGAAGAAACAGCUGUGCUUUCUGGUGAGCUCCAAUGCCAAACAUGUAGGCCUUGGAUCAGGCAGGAUGUUCCAUCAGCAGUCAUUGUUCACACCUGUGCUGUAUGGGCCAGGCAUCGAGCCAAUAGUAACACCUCCUUUCACCCCACAACAACCCUGUACCAAGCACACACCCAUUUUAUACCUGAGGAAGCUGAGGCUUGGAGAGGCACCGCGCCCAGGGUCAUGUAACCACAGGUGACAAAAUGAAGAUGCAAAUGCAACCUGAGUGAUUCCUUUUGAUGGAGCCACACCAUUUAAAUCAAUG